rnacentral:lncRNA from 1 species
AGGUCACUUAUUUGGGGAUGAUGAAGAGGACACUAGCCAAUAGAACCAAGGUUUCAUCUGUCUUUGCCAUGAGGACACUCAAGGAUGAUUUGACCCAGAUGAGACAAUUCAGAAGAAAGAGAAAACCCUGGGCUCCAUCCAAACCAUCCGAAGCCAAAGGCACCUUCAUGGUCUCUGGGGCAAUAUCGUUUCAAACAAUUCUGUCACAGAGGUGGAGGGAAUUAGACUUGGGGGCUCCUAGGAUCAUCAGCUGCUACACUCUGCUACCAGAGCCGUGUCUGAUCUCCCAAACCCAUGGAAGUCCUGUACAGCUACAUUAGAGGACUAAGCAGUUG